ensembl:snRNA U6 U6 spliceosomal RNA
GUUCUCUAAUCAAGAUCAGAAAGACUGGUCUUUUACAGAGAAGGUUAGCAUGGCCCCUGUGCAAGGGGGACAUGCAAAUUCGUGAAGCGUUCCAUAUUUUU